AUUGCACGCUGGCGGAAGGCCUAACACAUGCAAGUCGAACGAGGGGCGUACGGGUGAGUAAUGUCUGGGAAACUGCCUGAUGGAGGGGGAUAACUACUGGAAACGGUAGCUAAUAACGCAUACCAUAAGAUGUGCCCAGAUGGUAUUAGCUUGUUGGUAGUGUAACGGCUCACCAAGGCGACGAUCCCUAGAUGGUCUGAGAGGAUGACCAGUCACACUGGAACGUGGACACGGGCCAGACUCCUACGGGAGGCAGCAGUGGGGAAGAUUGCACAAUGGGCGCAAGCCUGAUGCAGCCAUGCCGCGUGUAUGAAGAAGGCCUUCGGGUUGUAAAGUACUUUCAGCGGGGAGGCGUUACCCUCAGAAGAAGCACCGGCUAACUCCGUGCCAGCAGCCGCUGUAAUAC
rnacentral:rRNA from 1 species